AAUGUCUGAUGGAUACACCAUACAACACACUUUCCACUGCCAAGUUCAACAGAUGUUUCACCAGAUACAUAGUUAACUAAGACUGCUUUGAACUUCAGAGGGGAUUAGUCCACCUGUGGUGCCCCCAGGGACCUCAGCCAGAGCCUGGAAGCUCUGCCUCCCCACAGGUCCCUGUGGGCAGGAGCCUUUGUAGAUUGGACCCUUUCGAAUACAAAUUCCUGCCCAGGUCUCCAGAGCCCAGUGACCCCUGAGUAUCAGCUUCCCUAGCAUCUGAGUCCAGUGUCUGCUCUUUUCGGAGACUUAGAGACACUGUUCCUCAUGGACUGUCCCAUGGUGAUACUACACAGCACACUUUUUACUACCAAUUCUCAAGAGAUGAUACAU